rnacentral:rRNA from 1 species
GGGAAUCUGCCCUUGGGUUCGGGAUAACCGUUGGAAACGACGGCUAAUACCGGAUGAUGACGAAAGUCCAAAGAUUUAUCGCCCAGGGAUGAGCCCGCGUCCGAUUAGGUAGUUGGUGGGGUAAAGGCCUACCAAGCCGACGAUCGGUAGCUGGUCUGAGAGGAUGAUCAGCCACACUGGGACUGAGACACGGCCCAGACUCCUACGGGAGGCAGCAGUGGGGAAUAUUGGACAAUGGGCGAAAGCCUGAUCCAGCAAUGCCGCGUGAGUGAUGAAGGCCUUAGGGUUGUAAAGCUCUUUUACCCGGGAUGAUAAUGACAGUACCGGGAGAAUAAGCCCCGGCUAACUCCGUGCCAGCAGCCGCGGUAAUACGGAGGGGGCUAGCGUUGUUCGGAAUUACUGGGCGUAAAGCGCACGUAGGCGGCUUUGUAAGUAAGAGGUGAAAGCCUGGUGCUCAACACCAGAACUGCCUUUUAGACUGCAUCGCUUGAAUCCAGGAGAGGUGAGUGGAAUUCCGAGU